GGAGCUUGCUCCUUUGAAGUUAGCGGCGGACGGGUGAGUAACACGUGGGUAACCUACCUAUAAGACUGGAAUAACUUCGGGAAACCGGAGCUAAUGCCGGAUAACAUUUGGAACCGCAUGGUUCUAAAGUAAAAGAUGGUUUUGCUAUCACUUAUAGAUGGACCCGCGCCGUAUUAGCUAGUUGGUAAGGUAACGGCUUACCAAGGCAACGAUACGUAGCCGACCUGAGAGGGUGAUCGGCCACACUGGAACUGAGACACGGUCCAGACUCCUACGGGAGGCAGCAGUAGGGAAUCUUCCGCAAUGGACGAAAGUCUGACGGAGCAACGCCGCGUGAGUGAUGAAGGUUUUCGGAUCGUAAAACUCUGUUAUUAGGGAAGAACAAAUGUGUAAGUAACUGUGCACAUCUUGACGGUACCUAAUCAGAAAGCCACGGCUAACUACGUGCCAGCAGCCGCGGUAAUACGUAGGUGGCAAGCGUUAUCCGGAAUUAUUGGGCGUAAAGCGCGCGUAGGCGGUUUCUUAAGUCUGAUGUGAAAGCCCACGGCUCAACCGUGGAGGGUCAUUGGAAACUGGGAAACUUGAGUACAGAAGAGGAAAGUGGAAUUCCAUGUGUAGCGGUGAAAUGCGCAGAGAUAUGGAGGAACACCAGUGGCGAAGGCGACUUUCUGGUCUGUAACUGACGCUGAUGUGCGAAAGCGUGGGGAUCAAACAGGAUUAGAUACCCUGGUAGUCCACGCCGUAAACGAUGAGUGCUAAGUGUUAGGGGGUUUCCGCCCCUUAGUGCUGCAGCUAACGCAUUAAGCACUCCGCCUGGGGAGUACGACCGCAAGGUUGAAACUCAAAGGAAUUGA
rnacentral:rRNA from 1 species